GAUGAACGCUGGCGGCGUGCCUAAUACAUGCAAGUCGAGCGAACGGACGAGAAGCUUGCUUUUCUGAUGUUAGCGGCGGACGGGUGAGUAACACGUGGAUAACCUACCUAUAAGACUGGGAUAACUUCGGGAAACCGGGGCUAAUACCGGAUAAUAUUUUGAACCGCAUGGUUCAAAAGUGAAAGACGGUCUUGCUGUCACUUAUAGAUGGAUCCGCGCUGCAUUAGCUAGUUGGUAAGGUAACGGCUUACCAAGGCAACGAUGCAUAGCCGACCUGAGAGGGUGAUCGGCCACAGUGGAACUGAGACACGGUCCAGACUCUACGGGAGGCAGCAGUAGGGAAUCUUCCGCAAUGGGCGAAAGCCUGACGGAGCAACGCCGCGUGAGUGAUGAAGGUCUUCGGAUCGUAAAACUCUGUUAUUAGGGAAGAACAUAUGUGUAAGUAACUGUGCACAUCUUGACGGUACCUAAUCAGAAAGCCACGGCUAACUACGUG
rnacentral:rRNA from 1 species